GACGAACGCUGGCGGCGUGCUUAACACAUGCAAGUCGAACGAUGAACCGGGUGCUUGCACUUGGGGAUUAGUGGCGAACGGGUGAGUAACACGUGAGUAACCUGCCCUGGACUCUGGGAUAACCCCGAGAAAUCGGAGCUAAUACCGGAUAGGACCUUUCCUCGCAUGAGGUUUGGUGGAAAGUUUUUCGGUCUGGGAUGGACUCGCGGCCUAUCAGCUUGUUGGUGAGGUAAUGGCUCACCAAGGCGUCGACGGGUAGCCGGCCUGAGAGGGUGACCGGCCACACUGGGACUGAGACACGGCCCAGACUCCUACGGGAGGCAGCAGUGGGGAAUAUUGCACAAGGGGCGCAAGCCUGAUCCAGCAACGCCGCGUGCGGGAUGACGGCCUUCGGGUUGUAAACCGCUUUUAGUAGGGAAGAAGGGCUUCGGCUUGACGGUACCUGCAGAAAAAGGACCGGCUAACUACGUGCCAGCAGCCGCGGUAAGAC
rnacentral:rRNA from 1 species